AUGAAGACUGCACACACGCUGCUCCUGGCAGUCGCCUUCCUCGUGUUGGCAUCAGAGGCUGUGGUGAAGGCGGACAAUUGUGCAGCGUCACUUCACAAGACGCCGCUACCGUGUGAUCAGGUAGGUUGCCUGCACAUUUGCCGCGAGCAUGUGAAUGGGGAAGGGCACGCGUGCCCUCAGUGCAGUUGGAGUGCUAGUUGCAACUAUAAUGGAUUAUGCCGAUGUGCUCCACAUGAGAGAACAGGAAGGCCUCGAUCUAUCGGUGGGGGUUUCAGUUUGUUUUCCAGUUUUGGGGCUUUUGGUAGAUCUUUGUUUUUCGUCACUCCGCCCCUCUGGUAUCUUCUACGACUUCGGCGGCACGUGAGACACAGGAACACUCAACGAGAUUGGAUGGUUCACAGUAAGUGUUCCUCCAGUUUCUUCUCCGACUUUGGUGUCGUGUGGCCGUCAGAUCUAGCGACAAGAUCGGGCGGACAGUCUUCUUCUUCGGGCCGUGGAACCUUCGGGAUCGACGCAGCUAGUACAUCCCGACAAAGAUCGGUGACUUCUUAUCAGUCUGCACGGGCACAAUUUAUUGUUCCGACGGUGCGGAACUCCAGCCGCAACAAUUUCGGUGCUACAGAGACAUGUGCGUGA
rnacentral:rRNA from 1 species